rnacentral:rRNA from 1 species
GACGAACGCUGGCGGCGUGCUUAACACAUGCAAGUCGAGCGGAGCGGCGUACGGGUGAGUAACGCGUGAGUAACUGUCCCCCUUUCUGGGAUAACAGUUGGAAACGGCUGCUAAUACCGGAUAGUGGGGGAUGACUCGCGUCCUAUCAGCUUGUUGGUGGGGUAGUGGCCUACCAAGGAGACGACGGGUAGCCGGCCUGAGAGGGGGACCGGCCACAUUGGGCUGAGAUGCGGCCCAAGCUCCAACGGGAGGCAGCAGAGGAGAAUAGUGCACGAUGGGGGAAACCCUGAUGCAGCAACGCCGCGUGGGGGAUGACGGCCUUCGGUUUGUAAACCGCUUUCAGCCAUGACGCGGUAGUGGCAGAAGAAGCACCGGCUAACUACGUGCCAGCAGCCGCGGUAAUUC